UACGGGGGGGGCAAGCGUUGUUCGGAAUUACUGGGCGUAAAGGGUUUGUAGGUGGCUUGCUAAGUCAGACGUGAAAUCCCUCAGCUUAACUGGGGAACUGCGUCUGAUACUGGUGAGCUUGAGUGCAGGAGAGGAACGCGGAAUUCCAGGUGUAGAGGUGAAAUUCGUAGAUAUCAGGAGGAACGCCGGCGGCGAAAGCGACUCUCUGGCCUGUAACUGACGCUGAGGCGCGAAAGCUAGGGGAGCAAACGGG
rnacentral:rRNA from 1 species